AUUUCCAUUUUUUAAAUAUUUGUUUCCAAUUUUAAUUAUUGUAUUCCUUUUUUCUAACUUCAUUAUUUACUUUCUUAUCUUAUCUUAAAACUUAUAUACUAAAAUACGUAACAGUUAUGAAAAAUAGUUACGAUUUAAAAUCUAAAGUACUGUUUUAUAUAAUUAAAGGCCAUAAAUUAAGGGAAAGUGUAAACGAAAAGUGUAAAUAAAAAAUGGGAAGAUGUAUUAGCGGUAAAAACAACUGGUAAAAUAAUAGUGGUAAUAUUCUAUAUGCGUACAUACAUACAUACAUACAUAUGUAUGUGUAUUGAAUAUAUAAAACUUAUAUAGGAAUAAAAAAAUAUUGUGUUUACAGUAUUUUGAACACAACGGUAUGACUCAAGGCAUUAUAAGUGCAGCCUGAGGUUAGCUACUUUCGUCGGUAAAGUUCCGCGAUAAAAUUAUGAACUGUUCUAACAAAUUAAGGAUGGCACAAUUGUUUGCAAAAGAUAUUUUGAUAUUCAAUGUUAGUGGGUUUAAAAUAAAGUUUAUGGUAGAUGUAUUUAAACCACAACAUUCAUGUAUUUGUUCCAUAAGACUUAAAAGUCGAAAACAAUUAGUUUCUAAGCAAGUUUUAUUGCUUAUGAAUCUAUAAAAAAACAUAAUGUGCUUAAAUAAAUAAUAAUUGUUUUUUUUUUUUUCAAAGCGUUAAUAUUUUUUUAUAAUUUUGUGAUUAUUUUGUAUGUAUUCGUUGCACCCUUAUGGUAAAAUAUGGGGUCUUGGAAUGUGGUAUUUUUGAAUUUUCAAUCUACUUCAAUAAAUAUUUUAUCUUUUAAACGAUUUAUGACUGGUCACCUAAUUGAUAAAAAUUGUUAUUGAUUUAUUGCAACACGUAAUUGUGUGUUUAUUAAUUUACUAUUCUUUUAUUUUAUUUAAUUUCGCAGCCGCAACACUUAGCACAUAAUAUCACAUAUAGAUAUGUACAUACAUAUAUUCGUAUUUAUCCAUCUAUUUACAAUAUAUCUAUGUAUAUGCAUACAUACAUAACUUCUAUGUAUUUGCUUGCUUUGUGCGUCGCAAUAGUUUCUUGCCUCGCACGUUAUUUUUACGCUUUUCUACUUGACGCAGUCAAUCAACCAGCAAGCCCGCAAGCCAUUCAACUAUUUUGUAGCCGGCAUAGAACUGGCUUUUACUGGGUGAUAUUCUAGAUGCAUAUGCACCUAAUGUAUUAUUUUUGCUUGUGGUUCGUUUGACAAUUAUUUCGUACUAGUCUAUCAGAUCACAUAGAGUACUCCUGGUUUUUCUGAGUAUUAUCUGUUUUUUCUGCUGCUGGUGAAUGUACAUAUAUAUUCAUUUGGCACAAUUUUCUUAAUUUUUUUUAAAUUUGCAUUUGAAUUGUAAGCAAAACAUGUGCCAUACAUUUUUUUGUUGCUUUUUAUUGUUUGCGUUGUCACCUUCGUUUUGUGUUUCUAUUGGCCCGAAAAUCUGACAGCCGGCAAGCCACGAGUCUGCCACCCACCACUAACCAAUAUUAAUUACUACAACCAGAACUUUGGCAACAAUAUAUUUUUUAAUUGCGUGUUCUGUUUCUGUCGCUUCUUAAGCGUUAAUUUUUUUGAGAAACUCGUGCAUAAAUUAUUUGUUAAUAAAAACAUAUUUUUUCAUUAAUAUUACAUGCUUACAUACUUGUGUUGGUAUAUUACACAUCGGUGCGUAUUAUUUAUUUAUACAUACUUUAUGUUCGAGUGUAGCUGUUGUCCGCUCGUGUGCGGCAUUAGUGGCGUUUUCCGCUGUCAGCAGCAACACGCGCUUAUUUGGAGAAGUAAAUAUUGUAUGUGCUCAAAUACGUCAGUUGCUGCUAUAUUUUUGACUAAUAAUUAAUUAUAAAAGAUUUUCCAUUUUUUUAUGUCUGCUGACGUGAUUUUCUUUUAUCACUUACAAACAUACAUUUCUAUAUAUUUAUUUUCUGGGUAUUUAAUUAUGAAUACACGUGAUUUUUAACAAAUUUUCAUGCGUGUCUUUGCGUCGCAGACCCACAAUAUAUGUACAUAUGUACAUACAUAUGUGUACGUUAUCGGUCUGAAAUUUUUCCCAACAAGCUGCUUAUUUGUCGGAAGCGCCGAUAUCGGACCAAUAUAAAUUAAAAUUGCCAUACAUAUUGAUCGAACAAAAUUAAAACCUGUAGAGAACCUUUAUAUUUGACAAUAUAUCUUCAAGAAAUUUGGCAUGAAUUGUGGUUGUUGUAGCGGUAGAAAACAUUCCUGUAGUAGUUUCGAGUUAUGGUGCCCAGUUGACAGACCUUGGCCGUAUAAUAAUCCCGUUCCGUUCCAGUUACUUGGACCCGAUUAUUGUGUGAACGGCAUGAAUUCUGGUCUAAGGCAACGCCACAAACUCUGAACAUUUUGAUCAGAUAGGACUACUAUAGUAUAUAGCUUACAUAUGUAAAUACUCGCCUAUUAAAAUCGCGCUUUAUGUAGUUAUUUGUAUGCCCUUAUAUGCUAUAAGAAAUGUACCUGUAUGGGGCAUUACAGCAUCGGUGCAGCCGAAGUUAACGUUUUUUCUUGUCUUAUUUAAGUUUUGUUGCUGUUGUCGUUGUCAUUUCGACGACUAUGUUGUUCUCAAGCGACCACGCUAGACAUGACCUUGGCUAUAUCUACAUAUAUACAUACAUACAUGCAUAGGCAUAUUUAUACAUUAACAUUUUUUGCUGACUUUUAUUAUCAUUAUUACUUGGUGUGGUUGUUUGUUUUGAUUGUCUCUUAUAAUAGACUCAUAUCUUGAAUUUUUUGUACAUAUUAUGUUUGUUGCUGCUUUGUAGAUAUGUGUGCAUAUUAAAGCACUUAGCUUUUAUUUGUCUCCGCCAUUUCGGCUUGAAAUACUCACAGCGCAAUUGUUUUAUGUGUUUCAUUCCUCCCCUUGCUCUCAAGUUGACUUAAGUUCGGUAUUGCAGUUUCUCAUUUUAGCGCGUUUUGUCGCUUGAUUUGCUCUUCCCAACCUCUCUUUUAUUGUGAUUUUAUUUGAGCUUAUGAAGACAUGCACAUUUGUUUCUUUCUCAAUUUUAACUUUCUUGUCUGCAUUUCUAAUACAAAUUAAAUGAAAUGCAGCUGAUAUACAUAUAUUAUAUUAAAGUUGUAAGUAAGUUGUAAGUUGUAUGCGAAACUUAUAAAAAAUGUAUAUUCCCAAAAAUUAUAUUAUGGUGUAUGUAUUUUUUUAUUACCGUUUGAUAUUAUGUUCCGGUUUCAAGCUAAGAGGAGACUUCUGGCUUUAAAAUACCUGCUCUCAAGUAUUAUGGAAGUUAAAAGCUGAUGAUGAACCCAUGAAAUUUCAAUUUUUAUAAAUAUUGUGCAUUCCUUUAAACGUCUUCUAUCAUUAUUCUUAAUUGAGAUGCACUCACGGGUGCAAGUUUAAACCGUACUGAACUGGAUUAUUUAUAGUACACCUGCAUACAUAUAUGCGUUUGUAGAUUUGUAAAUAAAUUUAUUUUUUUUUUUUUUUUUUUAUUUUUUUUUAUUUUUUUUUAUUUAUUUUUUGCACUUGUGGUUGCGCAAUUAGAAAUUUGAAAGCACUUCGUAAUUUUGGUAAUCUUACGUAAUUGUAUUUGUCGUUUUUGCAAUUUUCGAUAAUCUAUUUGGAUUACCUUCUUUUUAUAUUAUUCGCGAAUUGUGUUUGGUUUUGUUUAUUUGUUUUUAAUUUUAUUUUAUUAAAAAGUUUUCUUUUUUAUUUAUUUUUUUUUAAUUACAUAAAUAUGUAUAAAUAAAGAAUAAAGAAGUUUCCGUGAUUUGAGAAAUUAAUGUACGGAACCUGCACCCGUAUUGGCGUGACACCUUUCUAUUACAGAAACUGAUAUUUUUUCAAGUGAAAAUUAUUUCUUACUAAAUGGAAGGAGACUUGUUUGUUUUUUUGGAGCGACUGACGUUGUCCAUUGCCGCAAACCUACGUUAAGUUUGUCUAACUUCAUUUUUUUUGUAUAUUUUUUUGUUCUACAUUUAUUUUAUUUACGUUUAUUUAGGAAAAUACGCUAUUUCAAGUAUAAUUACUUUUGAAACACGUUUUCUUUAGUGAAUAUAAGUACCUAGUUAAAAAAAAACCCAAGGCUUCAACGCUGUCGUGCACUUUCUUUAUCUGCAAUUAAUACUUUUAAAAAUUUUUUAGUUCCGUGUUUCUAAAAUUUGUUGACUUGUUAUAUUUCUAAUCAGUUAUUCUAGACACCAUUUUUUCUUAAAUUCAUUUACAUGACUUUGUUUAUCUACACAAAUUUAUUCGAUUACUUCCUUGUAUGUGCUACGUGCAAGUCUAGUUGUUUAUUUUCCUAUUCUGUUAACUUCCUCUAUGAGCUUCGCUACAUGUUGUUUUUAUUUGCCACUACAUGCUAUUUGAGUGCUCUUUAUUUUAUUUUUCAGUUCUCUUACAGCUACAGCUUACUUUUACUCUUUGCUGUCUUUUGUUCUUUUAAUAC